rnacentral:rRNA from 1 species
CCUAACUUGAAAUUAAUAAUUUAUUUGUUAUUUUAAUUUAUUUAUUAUUUAACAGAAAUAACUUAUUUUUUUAGUACAUUUUAUGGAAUCAAUUAUUUUUAUUAUAGUUUAUAGUACUGUGAAGGAAAAUUAUUUAAUUAUUUUAAAGUUUACUUUUUUUGUAGUACCUUUUGUAUCAGGGUUUAUCAAUUUAAAAUUAUUUAUUUAUAAUUUUCCCGAAAUUAAAAGAGAUAUAAUUUUAUGCUAGUUUAUGUGUCAUAAUAAUUUGUAAUAAAAUUAUAGGGGUUAUAUGCUAUUCAAUUUUAAAUAUCUGGUUUUUUAAUAAAUGAAUUCAAUUCAGGUGAUUUAUAGUUUAUUUUAUAUAUUAAUUUAGUUUAAAUUUUAAUUACUAAUAUUGCUAGGGAUAAGCUUGGCAUUAUAUCUAUAAUUUAAUAAAUUUUUAAAUUUUUGUAGGCUUAAUAACAGCCAUCAUUGAUUUCGUUAUAGUUCAUUUUUAUUUGGUUUUUAUUUAAUUUUAUUUAGAUAUUUAUUAAAAUAUUUUUUGUAAUUUUUUAUAUUUAGUAAUAAUGAUAAAAUUAGUAAUUUUGUAAAUUUAAGUAUAAUAAUUCGGCAAAAUUAACUUUCACCUGUUUAACAAAAACAUGUCCUGAAGAAUUUAAUUUUAGGUCUGGCCUGCCCAAUGAAUAUUUUAAUGGCCGCAGUAUUUUAACUGUGCAAAGGUAGCAUAAUCAUUUGUCUUUUAAUUGAAGGCUGGAAUGAAUGGUCGGAUGAAAGGUUGACUUUUUUUACUUAAUUUUUUUGAAUUUAAUUUUUUAGUUAAAAAGCUAAAAUUUUUUUGUAUGACGAGAAGACCCUAUAGAAUUUUAAUAUUACAUUUAUAUUAAUUAAUUAGUAUUUAUUAAAUUUAUUUAUUUUUAAUAUUUUUGUUGGGGUGACAAUGAAAAUUAAAUAACUUUCAUUAAAGAUAUUUCAUUAAUUUAUGUUUAUUUUGAUCCUUUAUUAUGGAUUAUAAGAUUAAAUUACCUUAGGGAUAACAGCGUAAUUUUUUCGGAGAGUUCUUAUCGAUGAAUAAAGUUUGCGACCUCGAUGUUGGAUUAAAGAUAGUUUUAGGUGCAGAAGCUUAAUAACUAAGUCUGUUCGACUUUUAAAUCUUUACAUGAUCUGAGUUCAGACCGGCGUGAGCCAGGUUGGUUUCUAUCUACAAUUUUUUAUAAUAUUUUAGUACGAAAGGACCAAAUAUUAGUAAUAAUUAUUUUAUUUUGAUUAUCAUUA